rnacentral:rRNA from 1 species
CCUACGGGAGGCAGCAGUGGGGAAUUUUCCGCAAUGGGCGAAAGCCUGACGGAGCAACGCCGCGUGAGGGAUGAAGGCCUCUGGGCUGUAAACCUCUUUUAUCAAGGAAGAAGAUCUGACGGUACUUGAUGAAUAAGCCACGGCUAAUUCCGUGCCAGCAGCCGCGGUAAUACGGGAGUGGCAAGCGUUAUCCGGAAUUAUUGGGCGUAAAGCGUCCGCAGGCGGUCUUGUAAGUCUGUCGUUAAAGCGUGGAGCUCAACUCCAUUUCGGCGGUGGAAACUACAAGACUAGAGUGUGGUAGGGGCAGAGGGAAUUCCCGGUGUAGCGGUGAAAUGCGUAGAUAUCGGGAAGAACACCAGUGGCGAAGGCGCUCUGCUGGGCCAUAACUGACGCUCAUGGACGGAAGCUAGGGGAGCGAAAGGGAUUAGAUACCCCUGUAGUCCUAGCCGUAAACGAUGAACACUAGGUGUCGGGGGAAUCGACCCCCUCGGUGUCGUAGCUAACGCGUUAAGUGUUCCGCCUGGGGAGUACGCACGCAAGUGUGAAACUCAAAUGAAUUGACGG